GUGGGGAAUUUUGGACAAUGGGGGAAACCCUGAUCCAGCAAUGCCGCGUGAGUGAAGAAGGCCUUAGGGUUGUAAAACUCUUUCACCUGUGAAGAUGAUGACUGUAACAGGAGAAGAAGCUCCGGCUAACUCCGUGCCAGCAGCCGCGGUAAUACGGAGGGGGCUAGCGUUGCUCGGAAUUACUGGGCGUAAAGCGCGCGUAGGCGGUGAAUCUAGUCAGGCGUGAAAGCCCUGGGCUUAACCCAGGAACUGCGUUUGAUACUGAUUUACUAGAAUUCGAGAGAGGGUAGCGGAAUUUCCAGUGUAGAGGUGAAAUUCGUAGAUAUUGGAAAGAACACCAGUGGCGAAGGCGGCUACCUGGCUCGAUAUUGACGCUGAGGUGCGAAAGCGUGGGGAGCAAACAGGAUUAGAUACCCCAGUAGUCC
rnacentral:rRNA from 1 species